AUAAACACCAUUACUUUUUCUUUUGUAGAUGUACAUUUUAAGGUUUUGGGUGAACAUGAAUUUUGGGGGGGAUACUAUUCAAGCCACUACAGUUAUACAUAUACAGAUAAUAGAUACCAUUACUUUUUCUUUUGUAGAUGUACAGUUACAUUGAAAGUCAAUAUUGGUGCCACCAAAGUGAACUCUUGGAAGGAAUUUGAGAAUAUCCUCAUCCUUCAUCUACAGGGCUCCAGUGUCCAUUUAAGUUACUAUGGGAACGCAGGACAAUGUCAGACGGACCCCUCUUUGGGUAGCAUGGGAAGGCUCAACAGUGUCCAUCAUUACUGAUCAUUCAAAACCUGUAUCAGAUACAUUUUCUUGAAUGAAGUUUCCUUCUCUAUCCUUCCAUUGGAAAUUGGAAUCUAAUGCUGCCAUUGGAAGAAACACACAACUUUGGAGAAGACUUUAUGUUCUGACUGCAAAAUUGGUCCUGGAAAAGACAGUUAAAGCACCUUUUAUCUCUUUUAAACAAGAAAUGAGACGGUUCUCAGCUGUGAGAAGUUUUAAUGGGUUGCUCUGAUCAGAUGGCUAAAAGACAGGAUAAAGAAAAAAAGAACAGGGAGAAGGAAGGAAGGAAGGGAAGAAGUAAAGAGUGAGAGAAAGAAUAAAGGAACGCACAUAAUGAAGGAUGAAAGGGGUAUUAGAGACUACAUAAGAAGCAAGGUCACCUCUAUUUUCCCAGAAAGAGCAUUUUGCCAAGACAAGAAACUGUCAGCAAGGCACGGUGCUUCCAGCCCAAGUCUCCCCUACCUUGGAAUCUUCCUGCCACAAUGGCAAUCUUCCUGCCACAAUGGCAAUCUUCCUGAUGCAGACCUUCUGUUUCUACAUAUGAAGCGCUGCUCCACCAGGAUCCAACAUCUACCAAAGACUCAUCAAAGGGACUUGUUGCUGACAAGGGGGAGAUUUUUUCUUUUGGUAUCAGGAAUCUGAAGCCACACUUAUGAUAGCCCCUUGUUGGUGUCUGUGCCUCCACUCAACUUGCUUUCUCUAGAGUCCUAGCUCUUACCUGCACAGUUAGUGAGAAUAAAACUGUAUCGUUUCUGACCGAGUCUGUCAGGAGGCCUCUGUCACAAAUCUUCCAGGGUAGCCUACACAAAUAAUUUACCUUCUAACUGAAAUCCCCAACAAGGUAUGCUACUUUUCAGCCGGCAGUAUAUCUCUUUUUAAUUUUUUAUUUUAUAUUUAUUUAUUUAUUUUCUUGAGACAGAGUUUCACUCUUGUUGCCCAAGUUGGAGGUCAAUGGCACAAUCUCGGCUCACUGCAACCUCCACCUCCUGGUUCAAGCGAUUCUCCUGCCUCAGUCUCCUGAGUAGCUGGGAUUACAAGCACUUACCAGCACACCUGGCUAAUUUUUGUAUUUUUAGUAGAGACAGGGUUUCACCAUGUUGAUCAGGCUGGUCUUGAUCUCCUGACCUCAGGUGAUCUGCCCCCCUCAGCCUCCCAAAGUGUUGGGAUUACAGGUGUGAGCCACCAUGCCUGGCCUUAUUUCAUUUUUGAGCAGCAUUUGAAAAAGAAACCAUUGGUCCAUCAUUGUCUACUUGGGAAGUUAUUUCUUCCCUCUGAGUCUCAGUUUCUUUAUGCAUAAUAGAAACAUAACAAUCUCUACUUCAUAAAGUUGCAUUGAUAAAUAAAAAAGUGUAUUAGUCUGUUUUCACACUGCUGAUAAAGACAUACCUGAGACUGUACAAUUGACAAAGGAAAGAAGUUUAAUGGAGAACUCACAGAUCCACGUGGCUGAGGAAGCCUCAUAAUAAUGGUGGGAGGUGAAGGAGGAGCAAGUCAAGUCUUACAUGGAUGGCAGCACACAAAAAGAGAGCUUGUACAGGGAAACUCCCGUUUUUAAAACUAUCAGAUCUCAUGAGACUCAUUCACUAUCAUGAGAACAGCACAGGAAAGACCUGCCACCAUAAGUCAAUCACCUCCCACUGGAUUCCUCCCACGACAGGUGGGAAUUGUGGGAGUUAUAAUUCAAAAUGAGAUUUGGGUGGGGACACAGCCAAUUCCUAUCAGUGAAGUUCUUAACAUAGUGGCCAGCACAUAAUCAUAAUGUAGAUUUUCUCCUCCUGAUCCCACUUAACUUAGGAUAGGAGUUUCUAAGAAAGGCUUAUGUUUUGCCCAAGUAGAAGCCUAGAAGGAAUAUUCUUAGAAACAUUUCUGACAAAUAGAGUGGCAAUAACAGACUCAAAGAUUCUGAGUCUGGAGAUGAAGAAAGUUUUCUGGAAUAGGAUAUGACAUACCUUAAAACAACCUGCUCUAGCAGAAGAUAAUAUUAGAACUUUGUCAAUGAUAUUUUUCUUUAGAAAUUUCUCCAGUAAAGAAAUUCAUGUAGGUGGACAGUGGUGAAAAAUGUAGCAUAGUAGUUAAGAACAAGUUUCACUUCAUCCUGAGUCCAAAUUCUGUUUCUGGAAUUUUCAACAAUACCUGGAUAGACGAUUUUACCUCUCUGGCUAAAUUUCCCUCUUCAAUCAAUGGGAAAUACAGGGAUAAUUCGUGAAAUACAGGGAUAACGUAUGGAUGAAAUACGAUGUUUAUGAUGUAGCCAACAUAUCUUGAGACUUCUCAGCGUCUGUAAUUGUGUGAACCAAUUCCCCAUAUAUUCUCUCUCUCUCUCUCUCUCUCUCUCUCUCUCUCUCUCUCUCUCUCUCUGUCUGUCUCUCUCUCCUACUGGAUCUACCUCUGUGGAAAACCCUUAUUGAUACAAUGUCUUUGAAACAGCAAGCAUUAUUAAGUUUGAUAAAGUUAAAUUUAAAAUUGUCUUUAAUGAUUUGGGUUUUUUUUAUGUGUGUGAUGGCUGUAGGAAAUUUUUAUGUAGCCAAAGAUGCAAAGAUUUUCUCCUGUGUUUUUACUUCUGAAAGUUUAAGCUUUAGCUCUUAAAUUUGGCAUCAUAUAUUUCGACUUACUUUUUGCAUAAAGUGUGAGGUAAGGCUUGAGACUCAUUUGUUUCCUUGUGAAUAUCCCAUUAUUGUGGCAGUUUGUUUAAUAAUGUAUCAUUUCCCUAUUGAAUUGUUUUGACACUUUUAUAGAAAUAGAUACACCAUUUAAGUAUGGGUCUAUUUUUGGACUCCCCAUCCUGUUCUAUUUAUUUAUAUGUCUGUCUUUAUGCCAACAUCACACAAUGUUUCUUACUGAAGUUAUAUUUUAAGUCCUGAAAUCAGGUAGUGCAAAGUUCAUCGUAAUUAUUUUAGAUUUCCUAGGCCCUUAAAUAUAAACUUGAGAAUGAGUUUGUUAGUUUCUAAAGGCAAAGAAAAACAAACUAAAACAGCCUUACAGGCUUUUCAUUGGUUACAUAAUAAAUCUAUUGAUCAAUUUGGGAAGAAUUAACAUUCUACCAAUUUUGACUCUCCCAAUAUGUAAACACAGUAUAUCUUACUCAUUUAUGUAUGUUAUUCUUAAUUUUACCAGCAAUGUUUGGUAGUUUUCAGUUUACAGGUCUUGCCCAUAUUUUAUUAUGUGUAUCUCUAAGUAUUUCAUGUUUUACUGCUAUUUUAAAUGAAAUUGAUUUCUGUAUACCGAUGUCUCUUACCCUGCGAGUAGAUCUAAGCUUCCAUCUGGUAUAAGCUAUUUUUUUCAGUAUGUGGUACUUUAACUUUUCUCAUAGUGCAGAUCUGCUGACAAAAGAUUAUUUUUAAAGUAUUCAUUAGAUAUUUUUAUAUUGUAGAAGUUCUCUUUUAUUUCUAGUUUCCUGAGCAUUUUUAUCAGGAGUGGGUGUUGAAUUUUGUCAUAGAUAUUUUUUCUCCUGGAUCUUAAUUAAUAUAAUCACGUAGAUUUUCUCCCUUAUUCUUUAAGUAUGGCCAAUUACAUUGAUUAAAUAUUGAAUAUAAAAAUCAACCUCACACUUUGGGAUAAACCUCUUUCAGUGAUGAUGUGUUAUAAUAUGUGUAUGUUGCUGAUAAGAAUUUUUGUUUCUAUGUUAAUGAAGGAUAUAAGCCUGUACUUUCAUGUUUUUGUAAUAUUUUCUUUUGGUUUUGGUAUGAGAGUAACACCAUAUUGUACGGCCUUAUAAAAUAAGUUGGAAAGUAUUACCUCUUAUAUUUUCUGAGCGAGUAUAUAUAAGACUAUUAUAUUUUCCUUUAUGAUUGAUAGACGUCACAAAUGAAACCAUCUGGGCUUCCAAUUUUCUUUGUGAGGAGAAUUUAAAUUACGAAGUCAAUGUUUUUAAUAGAUUACAAACUAUUACAAUUUUCUAUAUUUGUCUUUGUACAAGUUUUGUAAUUUGUGUUUUAAAGUGCUUUAAUAAUUUCAUCUAAAUUCAUAAAUGUAUCAUCACAAAUUUUUCAUAAUUUCUUAAUAUCUUUUACACGUUGUUGACACUUUUGUAAAAAUCAGUACAACAUCUUUUGGAAACCUUAAUGACAUUCCCCUCUUUGUUUCUGAUACAAGCAAUUAAUGCAUUCUCUCCAUUUUUUCCAUUAAUCUUUCUGGUGGGAAAAGUAUCAAUUUUAUUGAUCAUUUCAUAGAACUAGUUUUUAAUCUGAAUGAUUUUCCCGAUUGUUUGCCCAUGUAUAUUUUAUUGACUACUCUUUAUUAUUUAAUUCCACUUAUCUUGGGAUUAAUUUAAUUUCUUCUACACCUCAAGGAGAAACCUUAAGUCAAUGAUUUGUAUCUUCUUUUCCAAUAUAAGUAAUUAAAGCUAUAAAUUUUACUUCAGC
rnacentral:lncRNA from 1 species